rnacentral:sRNA from 3 species
UCCGGCCGCCCCGCUCGGGCGUUUCCUCCCUAGACUUUCGGACCGUUCUCUUGAGGGCGGUCUUUUUUUAUUGUCGGU